rnacentral:misc_RNA from 1 species
AAGUCGUAACAAGGUUUCCGUAGGUGAACCUGCGGAAGGAUCAUUAACACGUAUCCACGUAUCAACCCCUGUGCACCUGUACGUGUCUGAGUUGUCAAAUGUACUCUGCGUGAGGACCUUUGGUAAAGCAGGCAUUUUAAACCAUACCCUGUUACCCCAAUUGACUAAAAAAGAAGUUGGUGCAUUUAUGUACUCGACUUCGACAUACGAAACGUUAACAACUCUUAGCAACGGAUAUCUUGGUUCUC